CAGCCGCCACGGGAAUACGUAGGGUGCGAGCGUUAAUCGGAAUUACUGGGCGUAAAGCGUGCGCAGGCGGUUAUGUAAGACAGGUGUGAAAUCCCCGGGCUUAACCUGGGAACUGCGCUUGUGACUGCACAGCUAGAGUAUGGCAGAGGGGGGUGGAAUUCCACGUGUAGCAGUGAAAUGCGUAGAGAUGUGGAGGAACACCGAUGGCGAAGGCAGCCCCCUGGGCCAAUACUGACGCUCAUGCACGAAAGCGUGGGGAGCAAACAGGAUUAGAUACCCCCGUAGUCCCUGUCUCUUAUAC
rnacentral:rRNA from 1 species